rnacentral:rRNA from 1 species
GAUGAACGCUGGCGGCGUGCCUAAUACAUGCAAGUCGAGCGAACAGACGAGGAGCUUGCUCCUCUGACGUUAGCGGCGGACGGGUGAGUAACACGUGGAUAACCUACCUAUAAGACUGGGAUAACUUCGGGAAACCGGAGCUAAUACCGGAUAAUAUAUUGAACCGCAUGGUUCAAUAGUGAAAGACGGUUUUGCUGUCACUUAUAGAUGGAUCCGCGCCGCAUUAGCUAGUUGGUAAGGUAACGGCUUACCAAGGCAACGAUGCGUAGCCGACCUGAGAGGGUGAUCGGCUACACUGGAACUGAGACACGGUCCAGAAUCCUACGGGAGGCAGCAGUAGGGAAUCUUCCGCAAUGGGCGAAAGCCUGACGGAGCAACGCCGCGUGAGUGAUGAAGGUCUUCGGAUCGUAAAACUCUGUUAUUAGGGAAGAACAAAUGUGUAAGUAACUAUGCACGUCUUGACGGUACCUAAUCAGAAAGCCACGGCUAACUACGUG